GAUGAACGCUGGCGGCGUGCCUAAUACAUGCAAGUCGUGCGGCAGCGAGCCCUUCGGGGUGUCGGCGAGCGGCGGACGGCUGAGUAACACGUAGGAACAUACCCCAAAGUGAGGGAUAACUGCUCGAAAGAGUAGCUAAUACCGCAUGUGGUCUAAGGAUUAAAGCUUCGGCGCUUUGGGAAUGGCCUGCGUUCGAUUAGCUAGAUGGUGAGGUAAAGGCUCACCAUGGCGACGAUCGAUAGCUGGUCUGAGAGGAUGAUCAGCCAGACUGGGACUGAGACACGGCCCAGACUCCUACGGGAGGCAGCAGUAGGGAAUUUUCCACAAUGGGCGAAAGCCUGAUGGAGCAACGCCGCGUGCAGGAUGAAUGCCUUAGGGUUGUAAACUGCUUUUAUAUGUGACGAUUAUGACGGUAGCAUAUGAAUAAGCCCCGGCUAACUCCGUGCCAGCAGCCGCGGUAA
rnacentral:rRNA from 1 species